rnacentral:ncRNA from 1 species
GGUUACUGGGAAUCAAAAUCAGGACCUCACACUUGCCAUGUCCUGUACUUUUGAACAUAUUGAUGUUAAGAACAAUUUGACACAAUAUGCUUCCUACCCAGUAUUCUGAAUGCCAAAUAAAUUUAAUGAAGCCCAGAUAAAUCGUCGCUAAAUGCCUUGUCAUCUAAUUGGUGAUGUACACAAAUGGAUGAAUAAGAUUCCC